CUGCUGCCGCCGGGCUCCUGACCUGAAGGGGGCACCUCGUCUCCACUUCCGUGCCGGCCGCAAUGAGUCAAACUGACUCAGUCCUGUAAGCCCGCCAGCCGCGGGCUGUAACGAGGUGCCGGGAAAUCACGGCACAUGUGCGCGGCUGCAGUGACUGUGGGAGUUAAGAGAGAAGCUGCUGCUGCCACCGUUGCUGCGGGUGAGUGUGCGGGGAGGGGAAGGUUGUUGGACACGCGUGCAAGGCAGUGUUAUAGCUACAAAAGUCGGUACCACAUGUUGAAUGGGCACCUGGAGCUGAGGCUCUCCCCUGUGCCGAGUGUAUCUGCUCAGCCCAUGACUGCUACUAAUCUGGAACUGCUUCUGCUGCCGACGAUUAGGAACGAGGUGGCUUUGUUCUGGACACUAAUCCUCAUACAGACAAUGCCUAUAAAAAAGAAAACCCUGACAACUGGCAGUAUGUUGCAGGUAUAACUGUGCCUAACAGGGACCACAACUACCAAAGUCCUACCGUGCAAUCCUAAUGAAAAACCUUCACAAGUGAAUUACCGAAAGAUGAACCUUCUGACUUUUCCAAGGAAAGGCCAACUCCAAAGCCAAGCUGAAACUUGAUCCAUAGAGCUUAGUGAUACCAGGCAAACACUAGAAGCGGUAGGGCCCAUAAAUAAAAAGCAAUUGAAUAGUAAACGAACAA